rnacentral:rRNA from 1 species
AUGCCUUUGCCUGUUCCUGUCGCUCCAUGGGAGGACAUUUCUAUGGACUUUGUCUUGGGCUUGCCAAGAACAAGACAAGGAAGUGAUGCUGUAUUUGUGGUCGUGGAUAGAUUCUCUAAGAUGGCUCAUUUCAUCCCAUGCCACAAAACAACGGAUGCUCAUCAUGUGGCAAACCUAUUCUUUCGAGAAGUGGUCAGACUUCAUGGAGUACCAAGGUCCAUCAUCUCAGACCGUGAUAUCAAGUUUCUUGUUGCAUUUUGGCUCACUUUGUGGAAGCGAUUCAACACUAAAUUGAAAUUUUCUAGCACUGCUCAUCCACAAACAGAUGGACAAACGGAAGUGGUGAACAAGUUUUUGGGUAAUUUGAUCCGUUGCAUUUGUGGAGAAAGAAAGGGACAAUGGGAUUUGGCUUUAUCUCUUGUAGAAUUCUCCUACAAUAACUCCAAGCAUGGAUCCACAGGAAGGAGCCCUUUUUCCAUUGUCUACACUAAAGUUCCAUCACAUGUGGUGGACCUAGUGAAGCUACCAUCAAGGGGAAACUCAAAAUCAGCAUUGUCCUUUGCUGAUAAUUACACCGAGUUAUUUGAAGAGAUUCGCGGUGCUUUGGAAGCACAAAAUCAGAAAUAUAAACAACUUGUUGAUUGCAAAAGGAGGCUCAAAUCAUUCCAAGCCUGUGAUAAGGUGAUGGUCUACCUUUGA